AUUGAACGCUGGCGGAAUGCUUUACACAUGCAAGUCGAACGGUAGAGGGGGCAACCCCUCGAGAGUGGCGAACGGGUGAGUAAUAUAUCGGAACGUGCCCAGUCGUGGGGGAUAACGUAGCGAAAGUUACGCUAAUACCGCAUACGAUCUAAGGAUGAAAGCGGGGGAUCGCAAGACCUCGCGCGAUUGGAGCGGCCGAUAUCAGAUUAGGUAGUUGGUGGGGUAAAGGCUCACCAAGCCAACGAUCUGUAGCUGGUCUGAGAGGACGACCAGCCACACUGGAACUGAGACACGGUCCAGACUCCUACGGGAGGCAGCAGUGGGGAAUUUUGGACAAUGGACGCAAGUCUGAUCCAGCCAUUCCGCGUGCAGGAUGAAGGCCCUCGGGUUGUAAACUGCUUUUGUACGGAACGAAAAGAUCUCUCUUAAUACGGGGGGCUCAUGACGGUACCGUAAGAAUAAGCACCGGCUAACUACGUGCCAGCAGUCGCCGUAA
rnacentral:rRNA from 1 species